rnacentral:rRNA from 1 species
UGAGGAAUAUUGGGCAAUGGACGAAAGUCUGACCCAGCCAUGCCGCGUGGAGGAUGAAGGCCCUCUGGGUUGUAAACUUCUUUUAUUGGGGAAGAAAAGCACUGUUUCUACGGUGUCCGACGGUACCCAAGGAAUAAGCACCGGCUAACUCCGUGCCAGCAGCCGCGGUAAUACGGAGGGUGCAAGCGUUAUCCGGAUUUACUGGGUUUAAAGGGUGCGUAGGCGGGCUAGUAAGUCAGAGGUGAAAUCUCCAAGCUUAACUUGGAAACUGCCCCUGAUACUAUUAGUCUUGAAUAUCGAUGAGGUGGGCGGAAUACAUCAUGUAGCGGUGAAAUGCUUAGAUAUGAUGUAGAACACCGAUUGCGAAGGCAGCUCACUAACCGAUUAUUGACGCUGAGGC